GUGAAGCCGGAAGUGAAGCUUUAGACACAAGUAGAUCGCCAAAUUGAUCGUCUCCGUUUUCAGAACGCUUUAAAAUUAUUAUUUUUUACUUAAUAGGGGCAGUAUAUCUUCUUUUGGAGACAUUAGAGAGUCAAAGUCUCGGCAUGACGCAGCAUUUCCAUCAGGCCUCAUCGCCUUCGACUUCCCGUGCAGACGUCGCUUUAAGGCAGGAGGGGCUGAUGGGAAAGCAGUCAGCCAAGAGGGUGGAGCUGAAUCUAAAGGUGUUGGCAUUCAGGUCGGGCGCUGUGACACUAAAAGAGGACGACGAACGAUUCCCGUGAAGAUGGAUGAUGAAAACGUGAGUGUUGUGAGCCACUCUGUGCUGAUGAUGAUGUCUCUGGUGGGCCCAACUGUGGGAGAG